UUCAUCGCUCGCGAUGUUUAACUGACAUGAUUGUGGGACGUCCUACCGGUGGGUUAGCUUUUCGGAGCUACCCAGCUAAUAUCCCAUCGCGUUGCUCUUCACCGAGUGACGAGGUGGGCCGGUACGUUUACUUUGAACAAAUUAGAGUGCUUAAAGCAGGCUACUUUUGCCUGAAUAUUGUGUGCAUGGAAUAAUGGAAUAGGACCUCGGUUCUAU
rnacentral:rRNA from 1 species